rnacentral:lncRNA from 1 species
GCCAUCUUGGAAGCAGAGAGCCGCCAUCACGGGACACCAAUCCUGCCAGCACGUUGAUAUUGGACUUUCCAGCCUUCAGAACUAUGAAAAAGGUCUCUGUGCUCUGCAGUAACCCAUGCAUUAAACACCCUCAACACAGAAGAAUCACUUGGAAACAACCGUCAGACUGAGGUCCUCUUAAGAACACCAGUAACUUCCACAGACACAAUGCGCCUGGAGGGUGGGAGAACAUCAGUCAUUGAGGCAGAAUGCCUGGCCUUGAACCUUGACUUCAGUUUCAACAUCUGAAAAUAUGCUAAAUGCACUGGGAACUUCCAGUUGUGUAAAUCAGACCUCUGAAUGUCUCGGCCUUGGUUUCCUCAAAUAACUUACCCGAAAUCACACAGUGGAAAGUUCACAGAACACUCAUGUUCAUGCUCAAUCUCUAAUAUGAGGCCAUGGCCACCACUAUAUUCUGAUUACAUACUUUCUGUUCUCUGAAAAACUCCUUGGAUUUUUUAAACCAGUAGUUCUUUACAUUUGUUUUGUACUGACUAAACUUUUACGUAUAUAAAAUCAGUAGCCAGUUGUCAAUUUUGCAUUUUAUAGGCUAUUGUCAAGCUUUAGACAUUUCAGGUUAAGAUCACAAAAGCCAAAUAUGGGCCUUCAUCCAUUUUCAUGCUAACAAAAAAAAUUUAGGAACCACAUACUAUGUGCUAGGCCAUACAUUAUAUAUUUUCACAGAGCUUGUUUUUAUUUCUUCCAAACGACACUAUGAUGUAGGGAUUAACAUUACAGAUCCUGGGCAAGUUAUUUAACUCUGAAUUGGUUUAUCUGUAAACUGGAAGAGUAAAUGGGGGAAAAAAUAGUACCCUUGCAUAUUACAUAUUAUAUGAAAGGUACUCAAAUGCCCUUGCUUUUCCUUCCGUAAUUUUUUUAAACAGAUGAAUAAAAUGAGGUUUAAGCAGAUUGAAAAAAUACCCUACAUUCAUGUAGUAAAUACCUCACACAUAUUUUCCAGAAGAGUCAAACCAAAAAGACCUCCUUACUGUGGGUGGGAAAUGAUUCAAAACCAUGGAGGCUUUCAGUUAACACAGAGCCAUGUAUUUCCAUGGAAAUGAGGCACUGUGUCUCACCUGAUUCCAAGGGGUACACUGCAUAUCUGGAAUCCACAUAGAUAAGCCUUAUAUAACCAAUCUUUAAUGAACUGAAAUAUACAGAAAAUGGGAUUUUAAAAAACUGAAUUUUCUAGUUAACUCACCACCCUUUUUCAACUUGCCUAAAUUUUUUAAACCUCCUUUACCUACUUAGUAACAUUUUGUCACUGGACAUGAAUUUUUUUGUGUGAUAAGGCAUCUCCCUCAGUCUGAACACCACCAUUUUUUCAUUCAUUCAUGUCUUCUAUGUGUAAUAUACUUUUCUAGAUAUGGCCCAUUUUUUUCUAACUUGAUUACUAUUAAUACCAAGGUAUAAAAUCAGUUGAAACUAUACUGGCACUGAGCAUACUGUAUGUUUUUUAAAGAUAGAUUCAUGAGAUGAGCUUCUCUUACAACAAUUUGCUUCCUCCUAAAAAGAGGAAGUAUGGAUUAAACCAUGAGAUAUGUUCUUUUCACAUACCAGAUUACAGAAGGUGAAAAGUUGGAAAAUACCCGGAGUGUCAAAAGAGAGGCCUCUGUUCCUACUCUGUUGGUGGAGUUGCCAAGCUGGUGCAACAGUUUGGAACAGUAAUUUGGUAACACAUACUGAUUUAAAAUGUACAUCUAUUUUGGUUAGGCAAUUCUAUUUCUAAAAAGUUAUCCUAAGGACAGGUAUUUUCACAUUUAUAUAAGUAAAAAAAAUGUAUUCAUAAUAGCAAAAACUAGAAACAACCUUAAAAUCCAUUAUUUAGGAGGGGCCCAGUUAAAUAAAUUUUCAUACAACCAUAUCAUAGAACACUAUACAAUACUUAAAAAGGAAGGUUGGUCUGUAUAUUUUUGCACAGAAACUUGUCCACAAUGUACUAUGUUUGUAAAACUCAAGUUAAAAGUAUCUGUAGUUAAAGAUCCCAUUUCUCUAUUAAGUGAUGUGCGUAAGUACACAGGGAAAGAGUCUAGAAGAAAGUACAGGUGGGCUGGGCGUGGUGGCUCACGCCUGUAAUCCCAGCACUUUGGGAGGCUGAGGUGGACAGAUCACCUGAGGUCAGGAGCUCGAGACCAGCCUGGCCAACCCCCUCUGUACUAAAAAUACAAAAAUUAGUUGGGUGCGGUGGCGCAUGUUUGUAAUCCCAGCUACUUGGGAGGCUGAGGCAGAAGAAUCACUUGAACCCAGGAG